AGAUUUAAACAUUUAAAUUGGAAAUGCGUGGUGGGUUUGGUAGUUUGGGGGGGGGGGAGGUUGUUUAGGGUGUGAUCAUUUAUUUUAUUGUGUGUAUAGGGGAGUUGUGCCUGAACAAAGGGUUACUUUGAUAGGGUAAAUUAUGGGGUUAAAAUCCCUCCGGCUCUU
rnacentral:tRNA from 1 species